rnacentral:rRNA from 1 species
UACGGAGGGUGCAAGCGUUAUCCGGAUUCACUGGGUUUAAAGGGUGCGUAGGUGGGUCUGUAAGUCCGUGGUGAAAUCUCCGAGCUUAACUUGGAAACUGCCAUGGAUACUAUAGAUCUUGAAUACUGUGGAGGUUAGCGGAAUAUGUCAUGUAGCGGUGAAAUGCUUAGAUAUGACAUAGAAUACCUAUUGCGAAGGCAGCUUACUACGCAGAUAUUGACGCUCAUGCACGAAAGCGUGGGGAUCAAACAGG